GCUUCAGGGCGCAGUUUUAUUACGUAAUAAAUGCUGGACGUGGGGUUAAGUUCUCGCGGCGAAGUGGGCGGUGUCGGCGCCGAGGGCUGCUGGAGCGAGUGACGUCCGGAGUCUCCUUUUUAAGAAGUCUAAUGUAGUCGGGGGCACAGAAACAUUGAUCCCUUUAAUGUCUGGCUUAAUGAAAGGCAGCUUGGAUUUUUAUGUUCCCGCACUUAUUCUGUUAUGAUAUCACAUCAUGUAACUUCUGGAAAACUCUACUGUAACCUCAUGAAAGAACAAGAAACAGCACCUGUGUCUGCAGUAUCGCUACUCUGCAUCUGCUUUCUCGACUGCCAGUAAUCUUUUCCCCUUGUAGUACAGAUCUUGUUUCUCCAACUAGACUCUGAAGAGCUGGCCUCUUCCUUCUUCGAGAAAAUCAGAAUCAGGAGUAGUGCUGUGCUGGUAAAUGGCUGACAACUGGCCUCAAAGGACCCGAUUUAUAGCAUUUGCUAAUUCCCAUGGCGCAAAUACUCCCACCUGCCAAUUUCAAGCUACCAACAUGAAGUAAGGAUGGAAGCAGAGAUCAGAGGGUGAGAGGUUCUAUCUUGGCUUUGAAGAUGGAGGGAGGGGCCAUGAGCCAAGAAAGCAACCUUCGGUGGCCUCUGGAAGCAACCGAAGCCAAGGAAACGGAUUCUCUCCUAAAGCCUCCCAAAAGAAUACAGGCAUGUCAACCUGAGGUUAGCCCUGUGAAUUUGAUUUUGGAAUUCUGACCUCCCGAAGUAUAAGAUAGUAGAUUUGUGUUGUUUUAAGGAAAUAAGUUUGUGGUGAUUUGUUUAUAGCAGCAAUAGGAAACAAAUACACUGUUGUAAUCUAAGAUACUACCACCAUCUCUCACCUGCACUACUGAAAUAGAAUCCUAACCUGUCUCUCUGUGUCCAUCUUUUUCCUUUCCUUUAUUGUGGUAAGAACACUUAACAUGAGAUCUACCCUCUUCACAGAUUUUUAAGUGUGCAAGACAAUAUUGUUAACUAUAGGCACAAUGUUGUAUAGCAGGUCUCUAGAACUUACCCAUUUUGUGUAAUUGAAACUUUACACCCAUUGGUUAGCAACUCCCCGUGUCUCUUUCCUCGUCCCUGGCAACCACCAUCCCACUCUCUGCUUCCAUGAGUUUGACUGUUUUAGGUACCUCAAAUAACUCAGUGUUUGUCCUUCUAUGAUAGGCUUAUUUCACUUAGCAUGAUAUCCCAUGUUGUAAAAUACUGCAAAAUUUUCUUCUUUUUUAAAGGCUGAAUAAUAUUCCAUUGUACGUAUUCUCUAUGCAGUUCUUGAGUCCCUAAACAUCUUCCCCACAGCAGUGUGGGUGAUGAUUUCAAAUCCCCGCUCAAAACUGGCCAAAGGCUGGCUUUUCAUCCAUUUGGGAUAAAAUCCAGACUCCUUACCUUAGACUAUAAGGCCCUCUAUUGCCCUGGCUAACUGUCCAGCUAUGUUGAAUUGCUCUCGCCUUGUCCACCUCUCCAACCUCUCUGGUCCUGGCGCCUUUGCGGUAAUCAUUCCCACUGCCUAGAAUGCCCGCCAACUGUCAGGUGCCCAACUGUCUCUUUCACCUCUUCCAGAUCUUAACUUUCUCGUGUCCAGUUUGCCUUCAUUAAAUUAUAAACUCGGCGUGAGAACAGACAGCGUGUUCUGCACCUAAAGUGGGGUAGUUGGCUCCACUAAAAGAGGGAGCGACCACUAGAGAGUGUAGCCAGCGAAGGUUUCUCAGUGGUGUCUUGGUAGCUGAUGUUUGUAUUCUUUUUAGAGAGACCAGGGAAAAGGAUUCCCUAUCUGGUUUUGCAAAAGGUUGUUUUCUGACUUCUUUGGGUAAAGAGAUGGGUGGGAUUGUGGAUACAGAAUUGAGCCUAUUUUGAAAAGGCAGAAUGGUACCGGAGUUCACGUCUUUUCAAAAUGCUGUGUUUUCUAUUGGUGUUUUAGUUUUGUUCCUCCUUGUUAGAAAUUUCAGUAUUAUCUAGUAAGAAGAAACCAACUUUGAACAAAUAAUAUUCAGGAUGAAAAUUUUAG